UACGAAGGGGGCUAGCGUUGCUCGGAAUCACUGGGCGUAAAGCGCACGUAGGCGGAUCUUUAAGUCAGGGGUGAAAUCCCAAGGCUCAACCUUGGAACUGCCUUUGAUACUGGGGAUCUCGAGUCCGGAAGAGGUGAGUGGAACUCCUAGUGUAGAGGUGGAAUUCGUAGAUAUUAGGAAGAACACCAGUGGCGAAGGCGGCUCACUGGUCCGGUACUGACGCUGAGGUGCGAAAGCGUGGGGAGCAAACAGG
rnacentral:rRNA from 1 species